UACGUAGGGUGCAAGCGUUAUUCGGAAUUACUGGGCGUAAAGCGUGCGCAGGCGGCUUUGCAAGUCAGAUGUGAAAUCCCCGGGCUUAACCUGGGAACUGCAUUUGUGACUGCAUGGCUGGAGUGCGGCAGAGGGGGAUGGAAUUCCGCGUGUAGCGGUGAAAUGCGUAGAGAUCAGGAAGAACACCGGUGGCGAAGGCGCUCUGCUGGGCCGAAACUGACACUGAUGGACGAAAGCGAGGGGAGCGAAUAGG
rnacentral:rRNA from 1 species